rnacentral:rRNA from 1 species
CAAUAGCGUAUAUUUAAGUUUGUUGCAGUUAAAAAGACUCGUAGUCGGAUUUCGGGCGGGUGCCGGCCGGUCCGCCGUUUCGGUGUGCACUGGCUGGCGCCGUCUUCUUGCCGAGGACGCGCUCCUGGCCUUAACUGGCUGGGACGCGGAGUCGGCGCCGUUACUUUGAAAAAUUAGAGUGUUCAAAGCGGGCUUACGCUUGAAUAUAUUAGCAUGGAAUAACACCAUAGGACUCCUGUCCUAUUCUGUUGGUCUUCGGGACGGGAGUAAUGAUUAAGAGGAACAGUUGGGGGCGAUUCGUAUUUCAUUGUCAGAGGUGAAAUUCUUGGAUUUAUGAAAGACGAACUUCUGCGAAAGCAUUUGCCAAGGAUGUUUUCAUUGAUCAAGAACGAAAGUUGGGGGCUCGAAGACGAUCAGAUACCGU